ACUCAGCUGGUCGAUAUAUAUCGAGAAGAAGCCACCAGCUGUCCUCAUUGACCAUUUUCGCCUCUUCCAUCUCUAUCUUUUCGCCCAAAAAUCUCUCUGUUCUCUGGACUAGGGUUUUUCUCUUUGAUCCAUCAAAUCUUUUGACGAACAGUUCAGAAUCCUAUCAAUCAUGUCUUACGAGAAGCUCGACGGUUUGGCGAGGUGGUUCGGUACAAGUGUUGCAUCGGCGUUUUUCGCAUCCUUGGAACGAUGCUCGUGUGUGAAUCUCAACACUUCCGAAUCCGACGACGAGGAAGAGGAAGAAGCUAAAGAGCGCCCUCUCAUGAUCUCCGCCCUCCCUUCUCACCUCGAUUCCUGCGCUGCCACAACUAAUCCUACCUCCGCUGAUAACCUCCCCGUUUGAUUCGAACUGGGAUCAUGCUGCAAAUUUGUUGAAGUGGUCCUUCGGCUCCAUCAGCAUGGGUUUCAUUUUUCUUCUCCGUCAACAGAGUGGAUUCACUCUGGUAUAAGCUGUAACAUUUUAGUAGACUUUUGAUAGGAUUGUAUAAAAAAAUGUAUUGUCUGUUGAAAGUGUCUUGUAGUACAUUAAAAGCACUGGUAUGCAUUUUCCUUUUCCUUCACCUCAUCA